GCAUAACGCGAAGAACCUUACCAAGGCUUGACAUCCCCCUUGACCGGCACAGAGAUGUGCCCUCUCCUUCGGGAGCAAGGGUGACAGGUGGUGCAUGGUUGUCGUCAGCUCGUGUCGUGAGAUGUUGGGUUAAGUCCCGCAACGAGCGCAACCCUUAUCCUUAGUUGCCAGCACAUAAUGGUGGGCACUCUAGGGAGACUGCCGAUGAUAAAUCGGAGGAAGGUGGGGAUGACGUCAAAUCAUCAUGCCCCUUAUGUCUUGGGCUACACACGUGCUACAAUGGUCGGUACAACGGGAAGCGAAAGAGUGAUCUGGAGCAAAUCCCAAUAAACCGAUCUCAGUUCGGAUUGUAGGCUGCAGCUCGCCUACAUGAAGUCGGAGUUGCUAGUAAUCGCGAAUCAGAACGUCGCGGUGAAUGCGUUCCGGGUCUUGUACACACCG
rnacentral:rRNA from 1 species